GUUAGUAUUCUCACUUCAGAACGGAACACAUCCAAGGCAAACCCGUUGAAACAACUGAUCACAGCUUGCUGAACAUCCAAUCCAAGAUUAUCCAAGGCUUUCAUGGUAGCGAGUAAAAGACCAGGUAUACGACCACAGAACAUAUGUAUGUUUACUUUUCUUCCUUCCCUUAAUCUAACCUCAACCUGUGGAUAUAAACAAAAGGGUAAAUGUCUCAACCAUGAAAAAAGAAAAGAAAAAAAAAGUCUAAGCCUUACUCUUGCUUGUUAGCCUUUGGGGCUUGGCAAAGAUGAAGGACACAACUCUUCCUUGACAGGGAAAGAAAGAGCCUGUGUUGUAGGUGUUAACAGAUGGAAGCUUGAUGGAGUUGGAGGCAAAGAUCCAGGUGGAGUUGGAGUUGACUCAAGUUCGUUGUGAAGAUCACUGAUCCUUUGUAAAAGCUCCUUCAGAUAAUCAAUUGCAUCUCCAAGUAUUGAUGAUCUAUCCAUCUGCAAAUCCAUCAAACCAAACCAAACCAAAGCUUAUCAGAAACAACACAACAAAUAAAAAGAGUAAAGACCUUAAGGAGAUAAAGAGAAACAUGAUUUUACUUUGCUGAUCUUGGGGACAAUUGAUCUAAGCAUAUAAAGCCUAUCAUUAAGCUUCUUCCUUCUUUGCAGGCAUCUGGAACAGAGUAAUCUGGAACAGAGUAGGCUAGUGCACCAGAGGAUGUUAACACCUCUAAAGGCUUCAAAACUUUCGCAAGGCUGGUGAAGCCUUGUGACUCCGAAGGAGUGAAUCCA
rnacentral:lncRNA from 1 species